GCUUAGUUGGUAAAGCACAAAGCUCUUAACCUUGUGGACGUGGGUUCAAGCCCCAU
rfam:Triticum aestivum genome assembly, contig: Triticum_aestivum_CS42_TGACv1_scaffold_306433_4AS